AUAUUUAAACCACAACCUUUACUUAAAUCUCAUGAACUUUGGUGGGACUGAAAAUUAAGAAUGCACUUAAAUCAAGGAUGACACCGUCAGCAAAUGCUAGAUAUGCAUCUCAAACUUGUUUACAGAAUGAAGGUCCGUAGGAAGAUGCUGGGAAACAGUGGUGACUGGAAGCAACACCCUACCUGCUGUAGUCAAGUGACUAGGCCUGGUGAAACCAAUUGGGCAAGUAUGCUUCAGGAACCAAAAGAAAAAAGGGGAACUGACAAAC